CAGUUGUGCCUGAUAGGAGGGC
rnacentral:piRNA from 1 species